rnacentral:tRNA from 1 species
AAGUAAGAAGCGAUAAAAAUUGCAAUCAGUUUCGACCUGAUCUUAGAUAAUCAUUUAUCCUUACUUU